GCCAUCAUGGAUACCAGCUGUGUGCAGCCUAUCAAGCUGGUCAGGGUCACCUAGGUCCUGGGCAGGACCCGUUCUCAGGGACAGUGCACGCAGGGCUCUGGAGGUUCCUG